GGUAGUAGUAGAUGCCCCCCAGGGCGGGGAGGCCGGUGUAUCCUCCCGCCGAGCCACAGGACACGGAGCUGCAGACCAGGAUCAGGGCGGCGAGCAGGACCUCCACCACCUGGCAGCAGGCUGGAGGGGAAGCCGAGGAGAAACAGCAAUAACCCUAUAGACUCAUAUGGUGAAAAGCCUAUAAACUGCACCCAGCACUGUGAGAAAACAAUCUCCUCAACACUUCACCUGAUUCCAGAAAGGACUGGAGAUCUGAAAAUGCAUCUUAAAAUUUAUUUAGGUUGAGAUGAAGACAGCAGUGACCAGAACUCUGGGGGAGGAAUUUAUUGCAUUUCUGGAAUGUAAAUCUCGAUGGCGCCAAGAGGAUUGAUCUAUUGGGAAGGGGGCAAGAGAAAACUAAACAGAAGAACAACGAAGAUCCUAAGAAGAAUGUGUGAAUAUGUAUGAGAAUUUAUGGAUAUGUAGUAGGGUUCUGUUUUUAAUCCUUUGUCAGUAGGUGUGCUCUCUUGGCUGAAUGCAGAGACACCCGGCCGUAUCUGUAUACUUUAUUUUUUUCUCCUAAUUGUCUUUUUUAUUAAACUUUUAAAUUCUAUAAAAAUUAUGUGAACCUCGUUUUUCACAAUAUAAAAAAAUCAUAUUUCUAGAAUACGAAGUGCUGAGUUGUGUGUUCAUGCUUUGGUCCUGGGAGGCCCUGUGCACAACAGCGGGUGGGAGGAUAGGGGCUGCAUACCCCAUGUGAAAGCUUCUGGAGGAGGACUAGAGUCAUGAAGCAAGAGAAGGGAAUUG